GACGAACGCUGGCGGCGUGCCUAAUACAUGCAAGUUGAGCGAUGAAGAUUGGUGCUUGCACCAAUUUGAAGAGCAGCGAACGGGUGAGUAACGCGUGGGGAAUCUGCCUUUGAGCGGGGGACAACAUUUGGAAACGAAUGCUAAUACCGCAUAAUAACUUUAAACAUAAGUUUUAAGUUUGAAAGAUGCAAUUGCAUCACUCAAAGAUGAUCCCGCGUUGUAUUAGCUAGUUGGUGAGGUAAAGGCUCACCAAGGCGAUGAUACAUAGCCGACCUGAGAGGGUGAUCGGCCGAAUUGGGACUGGGACACGGCCCAAACUCCUACGGGAGGCAGCAGUAGGGAAUCUUCGGCAAUGGACGAAAGUCUGACCGAGCAACGCCGCGUGAGUGAAGAAGGUUUUCGGAUCGUAAAACUCUGUUGGUAGAGAAGAACGUUGGUGAGAGUGGAAAGCUCAUCAAGUGACGGUAACUACCCAGAAAGGGACGGCUAACUACGUG
rnacentral:rRNA from 1 species